ensembl:lncRNA
AAGAGAGAGAGAGAGAGAGGCAGGCAAAGAGAGAGAGAGAGAGGCAGGCAAAAAGAGAGAGAGAGAGGCAGGCAAAGAGAGAGAGAGAGAGAGAGGCAGGCAAAGAGAGAGAGAGAGAGAGGCAGGCAAAGAGAGAGAGAGAGAGAGGCAGGCAAAGAGAGAGAGAGAGAGAGGCAGGCAAAGAGAGAGAGAGAGAGAGAGGCAGGCAAAGAGAGAGAGAGAGAGAGAGGCAGGCAAAGAGAGAGAGAGAGAGAGAGAGAGAGAGAGAGAGAGAGAGGCAGGCAAAGAGAGAGAGAGCCGCAGGGAGAAAGAGGCAGAGAGAGAGAGAAAAACAGAGAAAGAAAGGCAGAGAGAGAAAAAGAGGCAGAGAAAGAGAGGCAGAGAGAGAGAGAGAGGCAGAGAGAGAGAGAGGCAGAGAGAGUGAGAGAGGCAGAGAAAGUGAGGCAGAGAGAAAGUGAGGCAGAGAGAGAGAGAAGAAGAGACAAAGAGAAGCAGAUAGAGAGGCAGAGAGAGAGAGAGGCAGAGAGAGAGGCAGAGAGAGAGAGAGGCAGCGAGAGAGAGAGGCACAGAGAGAGAGAGAGGCAGAGAGAGAGGCAGAGAGAGAGGCAGAGAGAAAGAGAGGCAGAGAGAAAGAGAGGCAGAGAGAAAGAGAGGCAGAGAAAGGGAGAGAGAGGCAGAGAGAGAGAGAGAGAGUGAGAGAGGCAGAGAGAGAGAAGCAGAGAGAGAGA